rnacentral:snoRNA from 1 species
UCCCAAUGAAGUAUCAUUCACAUGGCUUCCUGUAAAGGUGAACCCACUGGGGCUGGCUGGGGAGAAGAGGAAAGUUUGCUCUAGAAGGAAUUUCUGCACAUGGGCAUGGGAG